UACAGAGGGGGCAAGCGUUAUUCGGAAUUACUGGGCGUAAAGGGCGCGUAGGCGGCCUGCUAAGUCGAACGUGAAAUCCCUGGGCUCAACCCAGGAACUGCGUCCGAUACUGGUUGGCUUGAAUCCGGGAGAGGGACGUGGAAUUCCAGGUGUAGCGGUGAAAUGCGUAGAUAUCUGGAGGAACACCGGUGGCGAAGGCGACGUCCUGGACCGGCAUUGACGCUGAGGCGCGAAAGCCAGGGGAGCAAACGGG
rnacentral:rRNA from 1 species